GGGGAAUAUUGCACAAUGGAGGAAACUCUGAUGCAGCGACGCCGCGUGAAGGAUGAAGUAUUUCGGUAUGUAAACUUCUAUCAGCAGGGAAGAAAAUGACGGUACCUGACUAAGAAGCCCCGGCUAACUACGUGCCAGCAGCCGCGGUAAAACGUAGGGUGCAAGCGUUGUCCGGAAUUACUGGGUGUAAAGGGAGCGCAGGCGGACCGGCAAGUUGGAAGUGAAAACUAUGGGCUCAACCCAUAAAUUGCUUUCAAAACUGCUGGCCUUGAGUAGUGCAGAGGUAGGUGGAAUUCCCGGUGUAGCGGUGGAAUGCGUAGAUAUCGGGAGGAACACCAGUGGCGAAGGCGAUCUACUGGGCACCAACUGACGCUGAGGCUCGAAAGCAUGGGUAGCAAACAGGAUUAGAUACCCUGGUAGUCCAUGCCGUAAACGAUGAUUACUAGGUGUUGGAGGAUUGACCCCUUCAGUGCCGCAGUUAACACAAUAAGUAAUCCACCUGGGGAGUACGACCGCAAGGUUGAAACUCAAAGGAAUUGACGGGGGCCCGCACAAGCAGUGGAGUAUGUGGUUUAAUUCGAAGCAACGCGAAGAACCUUACCAGGUCUUGACAUCCGAUGCAUAGUGCAGAGAUGCAUGAAGUCCUUCGGGACAUCGAGACAGGUGGUGCAUGGUUGUCGUCAGCUCGUGUCGUGAGAUGUUGGGUUAAGUCCCGCAACGAGCGCAACCCUUGUCCUUAGUAGCCAGCAGUAAGAUGGGCACUCUAGGGAGACUGCCGGGGAUAACUCGGAGGAAGGUGGGGACGACGUCAAAUCAUCAUGCCCCUUAUGACUUGGGCUACACACGUGCUACAAUGGCGUAAACAAAGGGAAGCGAACCUGUGAAGGCAAGCAAAUCCCAAAAAUAACGUCUCAGUUCGGAUUGUAGUCUGCAACUCGACUACAUGAAGCUGGAAUCGCUAGUAAUCGCAGAUCAGAAUGCUGCGGUGAAUACGUUCCCG
rnacentral:rRNA from 1 species